AGAGUUUGAUCCUGGCUCAGGACGAACGCUGGCGGCGUGCUUAACACAUGCAAGUCGAACGGUAAGGCCCUUCGGGGUACACGAGUGGCGAACGGGUGAGUAACACGUGGGUAAUCUGCCCUGCACAUCGGGAUAAGCCUGGGAAACUGGGUCUAAUACCGAAUAGGACCACAGGACACAUGUCCUGUGGUGGAAAGCUUUUGCGGUGUGGGAUGGGCCCGCGGCCUAUCAGCUUGUUGGUGGGGUGAUGGCCUACCAAGGCGACGACGGGUAGCCGGCCUGAGAGGGUGUCCGGCCACACUGGGACUGAGAUACGGCCCAGACUCCUACGGGAGGCAGCAGUGGGGAAUAUUGCACAAUGGGCGAAAGCCUGAUGCAGCGACGCCGCGUGGGGGAUGACGGCCUUCGGGUUGUAAACCUCUUUCACCAUCGACGAAGGUCCGGGUUUUCUCGGGCUGACGGUAGGUGGAGAAGAAGCACCGGCCAACUACGUGCCAGCAGCCGCGGUAAUACGUAGGGUGCGAGCGUUGUCCGGAAUUACUGGGCGUAAAGAGCUCGUAGGUGGUCUGUCGCGUUGUUCGUGAAAUCUCACGGCUUAACUGUGAGCGUGCGGGCGAUACGGGCAGACUUGAGUACUGCAGGGGAGACUGGAAUUCCUGGUGUAGCGGUGGAAUGCGCAGAUAUCAGGAGGAACACCGGUGGCGAAGGCGGGUCUCUGGGCAGUAACUGACGCUGAGGAGCGAAAGCGUGGGGAGCGAACAGGAUUAGAUACCCUGGUAGUCC
rnacentral:rRNA from 1 species